CUCUAUCUCUUUAGUGUCACCAUUUUCUUGAUGCAUCAAGCUUAGGAGAUACUGAGGUCAUCAAUGAGUCUUGCAUUCAAGCUUGCUGUCUUUCAAAAUUAGGACACUGUACAUAAACUUGCAUUUUUGUGUUCUUUUUAUAAUGUUGUAAUUGUUUUUGUUACCUAAAAUAAUUAUUCUUUAAUACUAUAAUGCGAUAGCAGUCCAUGAACUGAUGCCACAAUGCUAGAAAAGCCAAAAGCUGUCUAGGCAAAGUUGUUCUUCAUUUGAUCCAGGGAUGAGAAAUUUACCUAUUGGCUCAUUGUAGUUGGAUAAUGGUAAUAUUUUUUUAAAGUCUGUUAGCAGUGCAAUUCCGAUUGUUGUCUGGUAUCAGCAGGUAGGUAUGCAAAUUUACUUUUUUUGAAAAAUAAAAGUACUAAAUUUGAAUGAACAACUACAGAGAUAAUCAGCUAAACAUACUUUCUGCAUACUUAAUAAGGGGGUGGGACUGAAGGUUUUCAGCUGGAAACUCCAAGGUUUUACAUCAAAAGUCCAAAAAA